AGUGAACGCUGGCGGUAGGCCUAACACAUGCAAGUCGAACGGCAGCACAGUAAGAGCUUGCUCUUACGGGUGGCGAGUGGCGGACGGGUGAGGAAUACAUCGGAAUCUACUUUUUCGUGGGGGAUAACGUAGGGAAACUUACGCUAAUACCGCAUACGACCUACGGGUGAAAGCAGGGGAUCUUCGGACCUUGCGCGAUUGAAUGAGCCGAUGUCGGAUUAGCUAGUUGGCGGGGUAAAGGCCCACCAAGGCGACGAUCCGUAGCUGGUCUGAGAGGAUGGUCGGCCACACUGGAACUGAGACACGGUCCAGGCUCCUACGGGAGGCACCAGUGGGGAAUAUUGGACAAUGGGCGCAAGCCUGAUCCAGCCAUACCGCGUGGGUGAAGAAGGCCUUCGGGUUGUAAAGCCCUUUUGUUGGGAAAGAAAAGCAGCAGGUUAAUACCCCGCUGUUCUGACGGUACCCAAAGAAUAAGCACCGGCUAACUUCGUG
rnacentral:rRNA from 1 species